AAACUGCGAUUCGUCCCAUGGAUACGAGGGACGCUGUUUACAGUGAAACGUUGGAUACAUUGUAGCGAUCGUGGCUGAUCGAUCCAUGGUCAAAUCAUGUUGUUGCCACAAUGUUAAUUUGAAAACGGACACAUCUAAUCAAGUGCAUAUGUCGUAUGCACUCGUCUACUUGUUUUGUACACGACUGCAAAGCAGAUGUAUUCUUGCUAGCAGCCCAGUGUAAAUCUAAUAGAUAGAAUGUGGAAUCGUUGUGGCAGGAGUUCAGCUCUGGAAAGAGCACAGGCACAGCUCUCAGAGAGGAGAAUUACCAAAAACACUGCUGACUCGAAGGAUAACCCAGAGUGUUAUGUGGCCAAAGGAACAGUUAAAACCCAUGGAGAUCCAGGAUAUGUGGACACCAUUGCCAAUAGGAGAAACACCUCACAAGCCAGACAAACCCCACUCCAGGACCUGAGCGACCUAUCGUUAUCCUUAGAGGACGACCCACCACCAGAGAGCGUUGGGGCUGGUUGGGGGAGCAGGUUCCUCAAGAAAGCCCCUCCACCUGCUACCAGCCAAUCUCCAGCCCAGAGCAGGACCCAGACACAGCCGGUUGAGCCCAAAUAUGUGACCACAUGCCAGAGGAGCUCACAGAGCGCGGCCCUGAGCCGACUGGCCCUCAUAGAGAACCGCAUCCGAAACCGGCAACAAGCCAGGGAUGGACCAGCACUGUCUAAUAGGAGUACACCACCAGCCCCCCAGGAGAGGGAGACGCCCCUGACCCUAUCUGACCAGUCCAGCAGUGACCUCAGCAUGAAGGGAAAACGCUUCCUGAAGAAGUCAGUGAAUGCAUCACCUACACCUGCUGUAGUUCCCAAGGAGAAAGGCCCAGAUCUGGAUCUCAUGCCAUUGGGUGGUUUCAAAGCCCCUACUCCUCCAGUCAGGGUGGCCAGUCGAGGUGUGACUCUGGACAGUGAUGAGGAGGAUAUGAGGAAGCUCCUGGGAGGCUCUUUUGAGUUGUCAGAGGAUAGCCUGCACAAAGAAGCAAGAGUGUCCUCACAGACAACUAGAAAGUCCUUCGUCAAAAGAAGCCAAAAGGUUUCACCCUCACCCCCACUGGUAGACUGGCUAUCCUCAGUCAGAGCACUGUCCCGCUCCCCACCCUUUCCUCAACGACUCGGGUCCCCCAAUCGCUUCUCCAGCCGAGCCCUGGCACAGCACAGCCCUUCUCUCUCCAUCCGCAGUGCCUCAGUGGUCCUCUCUCCAUCGCCCUCACCCCCCAACACUCCCGCCUCAGGCAGACAGGGCUCCCCCCGGGCCAGACACCUCAGGUGCUCCCGGUCCUCAGUGUCAGCCCUCAGCGAGGUGCGCUCCCUGGAGGAGCUCUUCCCUGAGGCCUUGGGCUCCCUGGUGGAACUCUACCCUGAGGACCUGCCCUCUGACGAUGCCAUCAGUGAGAAAAGUGGGGUCUCUGAUGAAUUCAAGCUUAACAUUAUGUCACUGGACGACCUGGCACCGGCCAUCACACUUGGAAUGUCUGAGAACAAAAAAAUGAAUAAGAAAGAAACCAAAGCGGUCAAGGAACUUGCCGCUAGAUCAUUUAUGGAGGAAGUUUCCAGUGAGGAGCAGAUCCCAUCAGAGGAGCUCAGGAAGGACUAUGAGAGUGACUUUGAGAGUGAGAUCAGGACUGAGACAGACAGGAGUAGGGUGAGUGAGAUCUCUGAGCACCUGAAAUACGGGGACAAGGACAUGUCAGAGGUCAGGAACUACAUCGUCUCGGACACAUCCCGGCAAGAUAAGCACUCCAGUGUCUCGGAGGGAGACAGUCACGUCACCCACACAGACUACAGUAGAACCACUGAUUCAUUCACUGGCAGAAGCAGCAAGGGUUCCUAUUCCCGAUCAUCAUCUCGCUCCCACUCUGUGGCUGACACCAUCACGCCGUCUAGUGUGUGGAAAAGACGCUCGCCCAGCAGAAGGAGCGUGAGAGAGGCUGCGGUGCAGACCCAAGCAGACGGACUGGCCUACACCUGGUCCUCCGGUAUGGCCGCCCUGGGGCCAGCGGUGGGGAUGGCCUACGUGGAUCCAACCCCUGUUGCAAGUUACACCGUCAGUGCAGAGUCUGUGGAGGGAAAGGCUCAGGUCUUCAACCUACUGACCACACCUAUAUUGUGUCUACCUCCUCCCAAGCCCUCAGUGCGUACAGCCCUGCUGUGUUUGCCCUUAACGACAUGCUGAGGCAGCAGCUGGCCCUCACCAAACACUUUGUCCAGACCAGUCGCCACCUCCACUCCUCCUUGCUGCAGUCCCUGGGCCCUGCAGACUACACCUACACCACUCUGGAGGACACCAAGGAGUUCAUUCGCUGUCACAAGUCUCCUCAGCUGACCAUGGAAGUGGCCUUGGAGGAGGUUCUUCAGGAAAUGAGAGAGUAUCACUAUAUUUGACAACCAUGAGCUGCCUCGAUUGCACUCAGCACUGGAAAUGUAUGGACACUUUACACGGUACUAUUAAAACAUUUUAUACCAGAUCAUUUUUGUAAUGAAAUGUAUUAGUUGGUGUAUGUGAGACUGACCUACAGAUUAGGACAUCCUUAUGACAAGAUAAUUUACUGAGUGUCAUGUUCAAAAGAAUGUACCGCUUUUAUAUUCAGAUCAAUGAGGACAUGUAAUGCUGUUCAAUAAAAAGUUUAAGAACUGGAA